GAUGAACGCUGGCGGCGUGCCUAACACAUGCAAGUCGAGCGAUUUACUUCGGUAAAGAGCGGCGGACGGGUGAGUAACGCGUGGGUAACCUGCCCUGUACACACGGAUAACAUACCGAAAGGUAUGCUAAUACGAGAUAAUAUGCUUUUAUCGCAUGGUAGAAGUAUAAAAGUUUUUGCGGUACAGGAUGGACCCGCGUCUGAUUAGCUAGUUGGUAAGGUAACGGCUUACCAAGGCGACGAUCAGUAGCCGACCUGAGAGGGUGAUCGGCCACAUUGGAACUGAGACACGGUCCAAACUCCUACGGGAGGCAGCAGUGGGGAAUAUUGCACAAUGGGCGAAAGCCUGAUGCAGCAACGCCGCGUGAGCGAUGAAGGCCUUCGGGUCGUAAAGCUCUGUCCUCAAGGAAGAUAAUGACGGUACUUGAGGAGGAAGCCCCGGCUAACUACGUGCCAGCCGCCGCCGUAA
rnacentral:rRNA from 1 species